rnacentral:ncRNA from 1 species
UCUUAUCAUGAGUGGUGGAGGGACUGGCCCAAUGAAACCCAGCAACCAAUAGAUUUUCUAUGGGUGCUAAUUCCUGCGGAUUUUCUGAGAGAUA